rnacentral:rRNA from 1 species
UACGUAGGGCGCAAGCGUUGUUCGGAAUUACUGGGCGUAAAGGGCUCGUAGGUGGCCAACUAAGUCAUGCGUGAAAUCCCUCGGCUUAACCGGGGAACUGCGUCUGAUACUGGAUGGCUUGAGUUUGGGAGAGGGAUGCGGAAUUCCAGGUGUAGCGGUGAAAUGCGUAGAUAUCUGGAGGAACACCGGUGGCGAAGGCGGCAUCCUGGACCAAUACUGACACUGAGGAGCGAAAGCCAGGGGAGCAAACGGG